CGCGGAGAAGGAGGGGGAGGGAGGCGAGGAGAGGGGCCGGCUCGGCGAGGCCAUGUGAUGCUGGGCGAGAGAGCCGCCGCCGCCGGAGCCGCCUUCUUUCCUCCUCGGAUCCCGGGCCGCCAUGGCGACCCCCAACAACCUGACCCCCACCAACUGCAGCUGGUGGCCCAUCUCGGCGCUGGAGAGCGAUGCGGCCAAGCCGGCCGAGGCCCCCGACGCGCCCGAGGCGGCCAGCCCCGCCCAUUGGCCCCGGGAGAGCCUGGUCCUGUACCACUGGACGCAGUCCUUCAGCUCGCAGAAGGUGCGACUGGUGAUCGCCGAGAAGGGCCUGGCAUGUGAGGAGUGGGACGUGAGCCUGCCGCAGAGCGAGCACAAGGAGCCCUGGUUCAUGCGGCUCAACCUGGGCGAGGAGGUGCCUGUCAUCAUCCACCGUGACAACAUCAUCAGCGACUACGACCAGAUCAUCGACUACGUAGAGCGCACCUUCACGGGAGAGCACGUGGUGGCCCUGAUGCCCGAGGCGGGCAGCCCGCAGCACGCACGGGUGCUGCAAUACCGGGAGCUGCUGGACGCGCUGCCCAUGGACGCCUACACGCAUGGCUGCAUCCUGCACCCUGAGCUCACCACCGACUCCAUGAUCCCCAAGUACGCCACGGCAGAGAUCCGCAGACAUUUAGCCAACGCCACCACGGACCUCAUGAAACUGGACCACGAAGAGGAGCCCCAGCUCUCGGAGCCCUACCUGUCUAAGCAGAAGAAGCUCAUGGCCAAGAUCCUGGAGCAUGACGACGUGAGCUACCUGAAGAAGAUCCUCGGGGAGCUGGCCAUGGUGCUCGACCAGAUCGAGGCUGAGCUGGAGAAGAGGAAGCUGGAGAACGAGGGGCAGAAGUGUGAGCUGUGGCUCUGUGGCUGUGCCUUCACCCUUGCGGACGUGCUCCUGGGGGCCACCCUGCACCGCCUCAAGUUCCUGGGACUGUCUAAGAAGUACUGGGAGGACGGCAGCCGGCCCAACCUGCGGUCCUUCUUUGAGCGCGUCCAGAGACGCUUUGCCUUCCGGAAAGUCCUGGGCGACGUCCACACCACCCUGCUGUCAGCGGUCAUCCCCAACGCGUUCCGGCUGGUCAAGCGGAAGCCCCCGUCGUUCUUCGGGGCGUCCUUCCUCAUGGGCUCCCUGGGCGGGAUGGGCUACUUCGCCUACUGGUACCUCAAGAAAAAAUACAUCUAGAGCCGGCGGGGCUCGCCCGACUGUUGGUGUCUGUGCUGUGUGAUUCCCAAUGACCUCAGAAACCCACUGUCCCUCCAACACUGGACAGCACUUCCACCCCUCGUUCUGAGUAGUUCUGUUGUCGGUGUAAAAACCUUCCAUAGUUGUAGAAGUAGCCGUUGCCAAUGCUGUGACCUGAGGCCAUGGCUCUGCUAGAGAGAGAGAGAGAGAGAGAGAGAAACGAAACAGAAUGCCUUUUCUUUCGAUUCAAGGUCUCAACAUGGAACUGUGGGGACUGGUUAGGGUCUGAGGUGAGUCCCCGGCCUUGCCAUCCAACAGGGCCCAGGUUCUGGGAGGUGCCGGGGGCUCCGAGAACCUGACCGCUCGCCUCCCUUCCCUCUUGCCAGGACAAAGCCAACACCAAGACACAACUCUGCCAACCAGCACCUGGGGCUGGCUGAGGCUGGAGAGCCAGAGACCCCGUGGAGGCCCCUGAAGAUCAGAAGGGGCUUCAUUCUUCUCCUGGACAUGGACUAAGACAGCACUGGCCAAGGCAGUGGCACCCCAAAGCCUGACCAUGGCUGGGACAGACACCAUGAGCAUCCCCCGGUCCUCCUCCUGAGUGUGUCCAGUCUGGCGUUCAGUAGCGAUUCCCUCGGGCAGCAGCCAUCAGCACUCCCUACCUUGAGUUGUUUUCCCAUCCCAUGAGGUGGGACUUUCAGCAAAAGCCACGUUGGCCUUCUCUCAGAAGGUCAAUGCUCCAGCCCUGCAGCGUCUCCCAGCCGGCAUCGGAACAGAGCCUUCAGUAGCCCAUUUCAAUGUUCUGUGAAUCUGGCUGCUUCUGGGUACAAGAGUAAGGACAUGACAAGACCAGAAGUUUCCAUUGGUAUGACCCCUUUGCUGCUCUUCCCUUGCUGUAACCUCGAUUCUUUGGUCAAAGCAAUGUCACAUGGAAUACCAAGACUGAGCCCAGACAUCCUAUGUCCUUGUGUGUAGUGGUCAGAGACGGCAAAUCCACAUGGAGAGCCAGUGAGGACCAACUGCUGCUUCCUCUAUAAUGGAAAUGGUUCCACGUAGAUGAAUGUGAUGAAUGGUUCCAUGUCAUAACUCUGGGCAAUCUGUGCACUCAACAGUGAUAUUGACUAAAUAGGGUUUUUUUUUUUGUGUGUGUGUGUGUGUGUAUGUAUGUGUGUGAUGCUGGGGAUCGAAUCCAGGGCCUUGUGCAUGUGAGGAAAGCACUCUACCAACUGAGCUAUGUCUCUAGCCCCCUAAAUAGGUUUUUUACGAGAGGAAGUCCGUGUUAUACCAUUUAUAACCCAUCAGUGACCACGCCCGUUCUCAUGAACCUAUUGGACAAGCACAAGGGUAUCUGGGGAAAGAGAAUGACUAAUAGCUACAAAACAAGGAAUUUUUUCCCCUGGUAUAUUGACCCAUGACCUCCUCUGCAGUGGCUACCUUUGGGGGAACAUGCACGUAGGACACAUUACCCUCCCAUUCUAUGCGCACACGCCUUCUCCCACAGACCUCCUUGUUACCAAUCCUGCAAUCUUUUCUUUCCAUGUUCCUGAUCAUCCAGCCAAACCCUCUAUCCCAUGCAUAUGUAGGUUCAUAUUUCGGACUUCUGUCUCCACUUGAAAAGUGGUCAACCAGAUGGACGGCUUGGACCUGUGUUCUUGGAAGCUAUUUGCCUUCUGCAGUGUCUUCCAGGGCACCCUGCAGUGCUGUAACCAUCCACUUCCACCUGGCACCAGGCCCGAGUUUUUUCUUCCUCCAUCAACUGACCACAGGGACUUCACCACAAGACCUUGGGUACUGAUUGAGGAAGAGGCAGCAAUGUGGCAGAACAGAUGGCAUUGUGCUAUCACUUUCACUUGGUAAAAUGCUGCUGUACAUGCAUGUCUUGGCUUGACAGGUCAGAUGACACCCAAAUCGUGACUGAGUGCUCAGCCAGGUUGCAUAGCACUUGGUGUCUCGUGGGCAGGAGUUCAGUCUCUACAGGGCCCAGAAGGAAGCCCGAUGCUAUUUCUUAAAAGGACAAUCAAUUAUCAUUUGCAGAAGAGGAAAUUGUGGGGUAUGCUGAGAUUUUCCGACUGGGACUUGCUGGAAGCUCAAUGCCAUGUGCCUGUUUCAGAGACAACUGAGGCACCAUUCAUUGGAUGUGCUGGGUCACAGGCUCCAUUGACAGAGUAUCUUGCACCGCAGCCUGAAUUGCAUUGGGACCCAUUCAAAACUGGCAGAAUUCUGGGUUAUUCAGCAAAUAAUUCAAAGAAACACGUGUGCAUGGGCAUGUGUUGCCUCUGGUUGGGCAGCCAAUCAGUGAGGAAGAAGAGAAGAGAUUUCAGGGACAGCUAGCAGCCUCUGACAUAGGAGUAACUGAAAAAGAAGACUGCUGGAAAGGUUGGUGGGUGCAGAGGAAGCCCAGGCUGGCGGACAGCAAGACUGCCAUCUGCUGGUUCCACAUAUGGGGAAACCAGGAUCCUGCAUGAGAUGGCGGGUGGUUGAGUCAGGACCCCACUGCCACAGAGCUAGAACCAGGAGUCCUUUCCCUGGUCUCAUUCUGUCUCUGAGAAUAUCAUGGAGGAAAUCUAGGGUGUCGACAGGUAUUUACUCUAAAUUCAUGGGCUGCUGGGCCAUGGGGGAUGCAGAGGUGACGGCAGGUGGCUAUUGGAGUUCUCUAGUCAGGAAGAUGGGCAACAGCACUCCGGACUAUGGCAACAGGGGCUCCUGAGUUUACACUGUCAGCUGGGCGAGGUGGGGCACACCUGUAGUCCCAGCCACUUGGAGGCUGAAGGGGGAGGAUCACUUGAACCCAGGAGCUGGAGACCAGCUUGGGCAACAUAGUGAGACCCCAUCCUCCCAAAAGAGAAAAAAAUAAAAGAAAGGCUUCUCUGACAUUCCCUGAAGAAUUCCUGCUGGGAGGACAGUAAGGGCUGCUGAAGGUCAUAGUUUCUUCUGUUUGUUGGUUUCUUAUUGCCAAAGUUACAGACUUGAUGACCCAGGUCACUCCAGCAUAUCCCCAAAGUCCUAUCUGGCUCUUCUCUAGCAACCUGGGCCCACACUGCCUAAGGGCCUCAGUUUUCUCAUCUCUGAAAUGGAGCUGGUGACACUAACAGCUGCCAUUCAUUAAGUACUAGGAAAUAUGCAUAAUUUCAAACCCUAAGAAGCAUGGAUAAUUGUUUUUCAUUGAUGAAAUGAAGACUCAGAAUUCAAGAACUCAUGGUUCUAGUAGUAGAUUAUACUAUGGGUCUUCCCAACAGCAUUGCAUAGCCACAGCCUUUGACACGAAACUUCAGCCCCUCUCACUGUGGGUGGAGUUUAUUCCCUGCCCCAUCAAGCCUGGUUUUUCCGGGUGACCUUCUUGUGUUAGUGGAAUAUUGGUGAAAGGAUAUAACUUAACCACUGAGCCAUAUCCCCAGCCCUUUUUAUUGUUUGUUUUGAGACAGGGUCUUGCUAAGUUGCUUAAGGCCUCCCUAAAUAGCUAAAGCUGGCUUUGAACUUGCGAUCCUCCUGCCUCAGCCUCCUGAGUCACUGGGAUUACAGGCAUGCACCACCAUAUCCAGUGGGCAGAGGUUUUAAAUGUGCUAUGUGGUUCAGCUUGGACAUGGGUACCAGCAACCAUCAAAAGGGGAGCAUGCCCCUAAGUAGUUGCUGCCCUUUUUUCUGGAUGCCAGAACAAAACUAGCAAAACAGGACUGAGCCUAUCUUGUGGCUUACAGCCAGGCAGAGCCGCCCCCCAGGCUGCAGCAGAGCUCAACAGCUGAGGGCAGCCCAUAGUAGCAGAGUUGACCUGCAUUUGCUGUAAGUCAGUAAGUCUGUUGGGAGAUGUGUUAUUACCAAGCAGUAUUAGAGCAGUAGCUGACUAAUAUACUGGCAGAACUGGGCUAUGAAGUCAGAUAUGUUUGAAGCCAAAGUCCCAGCUAUUUUCUCUUGGUCUGUAUUGGAGGGAACCACAGGUGAGGUGAUACAUUAAAAUGUCAAGCAUCAGACUAAAAAUAAUCAAGAACAAACACCAGUUGUUAAUCUUAUUCAUGUUGCAUUAGAUUGAUGACAUGGAGAAAUUUCAGGGUUAUUGAGGAAAUUUAGUUGUUAGAGGGUCUGCCCCUGAGAGAGAGAGUCAUUAAGCAAAGAUAAAUCUCUUCGAUACUAAGCAGGUCUCAUGGGUGUCUGAUAUCUCAAAGCUUAUUUUCCCAUCUGUGAUUGCAUUAGGCCAAACAGUGACUAGUGAGACAGAAAGUAUUCUCAUUUUGUAGUUGAGUAACAAAUCAGAGAGGCUAACUGCUUUGCCCAGGGUCACGUGCUGAGGAAUUGAAUGCAGGCUUCUUGGUUUCCAGUCCAGGUCAGUUCAGGAGAGCUGGUUUAUGCCCCCGCCGCUCACCCUGCAUCAGUCCCCAGCAGCAAGAGGUGCCUGGCAGAUGAAGUACGCUCAGGAAGUGCAGGCGGAAGCCAGGGCAGGUGCAAGGGGUGCCAGUGGGAACACGCAGCUGGCUCAGGCAGGCCCCAAAUGACUUUGUUCCAGAAAUUAAGAUCUAAUCAUGGAGGUUCCCACACUCCCCCACCCACUUACCUCCUAAGCACUCGGCGACCUCAGAAGCUCAGACACUGGGUGGCACACCUGGCAGAGAAGGCAGCGGGUGGCAGGGCUCUGUGAUAAGGCUCCCCGCCCAGGGCCCCGGAGGAAGCAUCCUGGGACCAGCGGUGGGCAGCCCGUAGUUCCCUGGGUGGACAGCACCUCAGACAGCACCGGGACCUACUUUACCUUGGCCAGAAGGACGCCACCAGUUCAAGGCUCUUUCUUUCAGCUGUCCUGGAAAAUGGCUCCCUCCCUCUCCAGUAACUUCGUUAACCUGGAAACCAGAAGGCAGAGUCUGAGGUGCUCCGGGGCCACGCCGGAGCACAGGGACACAGCCUUACCUGUUCAACAGCACCUCUGUGAACUGAAAACGCGCUCGUGGUGGGUUUUCUUUCUCCUGGUAAAGUAAGUUAUGCUACUGGUGACACACUAGGACCUACCACACCUUGGACGACCCUCGUGUUGUCCUCCCACACAAGGUCCUGUUCUAAGCACCUCACAAGCUUUAAUCCCCACAACACUUCAAUGUAGGUACCAUCCCUCAUUUUACAGAUGAAGAAACUGAGACCCAGAGAGGUUAGGUGCUUGCUCCAGGGUGCACAGCCAGUGUGGAUGUUAGGGUUAGGAUUGGAAACCAGGCAGCCUGUUAACCUCCUUGGUCCUUUUACUUCCCUAAAUGCUUUAUGUAAUUGUCUCUGCCUGAGCUGUGAAAAUGUCAGGGUCCAUUGGGGAAACACUGCUUCUGAUGCUCUGCACACUGUCUGAUGUGGCGAUUUCGUUGUCUGAAUGUGGUUGAACUGCAACCCAUGGAGGCAGGUCGGAGUCUGAGUUAAUGCUGCACUCCCCCCCUCGCCUAACACAGAAACUAGAACACUGGGUGCUCCCCAACUACUGGGUGACUGAUGAGUGAGGAGAGGCACCGUGAACCCCACCUUACACGCCCGAAGCAGGGGCUCAGAGCUGACCUGGUUGAGGACACACAGCUGCGAGUUAUAGUCAGCACGAGCCCAGAUCUUCCGCUCCAGACUCAGGCUAGCUAGGACGUCACUCAUUCUUGGUAGCAACUGCAUUAUGUGACUCACAGAGUUACUAUAAUUUAUGUAACUGAUAUAAUUUAUGUAACUGUCAUUUGGGUUUUGACAAGUUUUCACUCUUGCAGCAACUAUAAUAAAAAUCUUUCUGUACACAUUUCUGUAGUGCAAACCCCUA